CACCUAAUCUUACUGAUUGCUGCCACUAGAUCAAGUCUCAGACUCACUGGGAUGGUGACAGCAUUGGAGAUGUUCCCCUCUGUUGUCCAAUGAUGCUGUCUGCUCAGACGUCAAAGUAAAGGUACCAAAAUGCUGACUUAGAGAUCUGUGUGCAUGGAUGAUGUUCAUCUACAGUGGGCUGACUUCAGAGUACGGUGAUCAGAUCCCGCCAGUGCCUUCCAUGCUUGACCUAGAUGUAACUCAGCUGACGGAGAAGCCCAAGCAAGGAACCUACAGGGUCAGCCUCACUGGGACACAGAGCAGCAGGGGAAGG